rnacentral:rRNA from 1 species
CGAGAAUAAUUCACAAUGGGGGCAACCCUGAUGGUGCAACGCCGCGUGGAGGAUGACGGUCUUCGGAUUGUAAACUCCUGUCAUCUGGGAGAAAGACCUGGCCGUUAAUAGCGGACCGGGUUGAUAGUACCAGAAGAGGAAGGGACGGCUAACUUCGUGCCAGCAGCCGCGGUAAUACGAAGGUCCCAAGCGUGGUUCGGAAUCACUGGGCGUAAAGGGAGCGUCGGCGGCGCGGUAAGUGCGAUGUG